GACGAACGCUGGCGGCAGGCCUAACACAUGCAAGUCGAGCGCGCGGCGGACGGGAGUGUAAUGUAUGGGGCUCCGCCCUAUAGAGGGGGAUCAACACUGGAAACGGUGGCUAAUACCGCAUCCUAUUGGCUGAACCCAUAUGGGAUUAGCGAGUAGGUGGGGUAAAGGCUCACCUAGGCGACGAUCUCUAGCUGGUCUGAGAGGAUGAUCAGCCACACUGGGACGGAGACACGGCCCAGACUCCUACGGGAGGCAGCAGUGGGGAAGAUUGCACAAUGGGCGCAAGCCUGAUGCAGCCAUGCCGCGUGUGUGAAGAAGGCCUUAGGGUUGGAAAGUACUUUCAGCGGGGAGGCGUUACCCGCAGAAGAAGCACCGGCUAACUCCGUGCCAGCAGCCGCGGUAAUAC
rnacentral:rRNA from 1 species